rnacentral:misc_RNA from 1 species
UUGAAUAAACUUGGUUAGGUUGCUGCUGGCUCUUAGGAGCAUGUGCACGCCGACUCCAUCUUUAACCACCUGUGCACUUUGCGUAGAUCUGAACAUUUCGAGGGCACUCGGUUUGAGAAUUGCUGUGCAUAAAGCCAGCUUUUCUUGUACUCAGGUCUAUGUUUUCACAUACCCCAUAUGAAUGUAUACGAACGUUGCAAUUGGCCUUGUGCCUUUAAAACAAAUA